AUUGAACGCUGGCGGCAGGCCUAACACAUGCAAGUCGAGCGGAUGACGGGAGCUUGCUCCUUGAUUCAGCGGCGGACGGGUGAGUAAUGCCUAGGAAUCUGCCUGGUAGUGGGGGACAACGUUUCGAAAGGAACGCUAAUACCGCAUACGUCCUACGGGAGAAAGCAGGGGACCUUCGGGCCUUGCGCUAUCAGAUGAGCCUAGGUCGGAUUAGCUAGUUGGUGAGGUAAUGGCUCACCAAGGCGACGAUCCGUAACUGGUCUGAGAGGAUGAUCAGUCAGACUGGAACUGAGACACGGUCCAGACUCCUACGGGAGGCAGUGGUGGGGAAUAUUGGACAAUGGGCGAAAGCCUGACUCAGCCAUGCCGCGUGUGUGAAGAAGGUCUUCGGAUUGUAAAGCACUUUAAGUUGGGAGGAAGGGCAGUAAGUUAAUACCUUGCUGUUUUGACGUUACCGACAGAAUAAGCACCGGCUAACUCUGUGCCAGCCGCCGCCGUAAAAC
rnacentral:rRNA from 1 species